AGAGUUUGAUCAUGGCUCAGAUUGAACGCUGGCGGCAGGCCUAACACAUGCAAGUCGAGCGGUAGAGAGAAGCUUGCUUCUCUUGAGAGCGGCGGACGGGUGAGUAAUGCCUAGGAAUCUGCCUGGUAGUGGGGGAUAACGCUCGGAAACGGACGCUAAUACCGCAUACGUCCUACGGGAGAAAGCAGGGGACCUUCGGGCCUUGCGCUAUCAGAUGAGCCUAGGUCGGAUUAGCUAGUUGGUGAGGUAAUGGCUCACCAAGGCGACGAUCCGUAACUGGUCUGAGAGGAUGAUCAGUCACACUGGAACUGAGACACGGUCCAGACUCCUACGGGAGGCAGCAGUGGGGAAUAUUGGACAAUGGGCGAAAGCCUGAUCCAGCCAUGCCGCGUGUGUGAAGAAGGUCUUCGGAUUGUAAAGCACUUUAAGUUGGGAGGAAGGGCAUUAACCUAAUACGUUGGUGUCUUGACGUUACCGACAGAAUAAGCACCGGCUAACUCUGUGCCAGCAGCCGCGGUAAUACAGAGGGUGCAAGCGUUAAUCGGAAUUACUGGGCGUAAAGCGCGCGUAGGUGGUUCGUUAAGUUGGAUGUGAAAUCCCCGGGCUCAACCUGGGAACUGCAUUCAAAACUGACGAGCUAGAGUAUGGUAGAGGGUGGUGGAAUUUCCUGUGUAGCGGUGAAUGCGUAGAUAUAGGAAGGAACACCAGUGGCGAAGGCGACCACCUGGACUGAUACUGACACUGAGGUGCGAAAGCGUGGGGAGCAAACAGGAUUAGAUACCCUGUAGUCCACGCCGUAAACGAUGUCAACUAGCCGUUGGGAGCCUUGAGCUCUUAGUGGCGCAGCUAACGCAUUAAGUUGACCGCCUGGGGAGUACGG
rnacentral:rRNA from 1 species